AUGAACGCUGGCGGCGUGCCUAAUACAUGCCAGUCGAGCGAACGGACGAGAAGCUUGCUUCUCUGAUGUUAGCGGCGGACGGGUGAGUAACACGUGGAUAACCUACCUAUAAGACUGGGAUAACUUCGGGAAACCGGAGCUAAUACCGGAUAAUAUUUUGAACCGCAUGGUUCAAAAGUGAAAGACGGUCUUGCUGUCACUUAUAGAUGGAUCCGCGCUGCAUUAGCUAGUUGGUAAGGUAACGGCUUACCAAGGCAACGAUGCAUAGCCGACCUGAGAGGGUGGUCGCCCACACGGGAAGGGAGACACGGUCCAGACUCCGAGGGGAGGAAGCAGUGGGGAAUAUCAGGCAAGGGGGGAAAGCCUGACGGAGAAACACGGGGGGAGUGAGGAAGGUUUUAGGAUCGUAAACCUCUGUUAUAGGGAAAGAACAUAUGUGAAAGUAAUUGUGCACAUCUUGACGGUACCUAAAGAAAAAGCCACGGAUAACUCCGUG
rnacentral:rRNA from 1 species